AACGAACGCUGGCGGCAGGCUUAACACAUGCAAGUCGAGCGCCCCGCAAGGGGAGCGGCAGACGGGGGAGUAACGCGUGGGAAUCUACCUUUUGCUACGGAAUAACUCAGGGAAACUUGUGCUAAUACCGUAUGUGUCCUUCGUGAGAAAGAUUUAUCGGCAAGAGAUGAGCCCGCGUUGGAUUAGCUAGUUGGUGAGGUAAUGGCUCACCAAGGCGACGAUCCAUAGCUGGUCUGAGAGGAUGAUCAGCCACAUUGGGACUGAGACACGGCCCAAACUCCUACGGGAGGCAGCAGUGGGGAAUAUUGGACAAUGGGCGCAAGCCUGAUCCAGCCGUGCCGCGUGAGUGAUGAAGGCCCUAGGGUUGUAAAGCUCUUUCACCGGUGAAGAUAAUGCCGGUAACCGGAGAAGAAGCCCCGGCUAACUUCGUGCCAGCAGCCGCCGUAA
rnacentral:rRNA from 1 species